UACGUAGGGUGCAAGCGUUGUCCGGAAUUAUUGGGCGUAAAGAGCUCGUAGGCGGUCUGUCGCGUCGGAUGUGAAAAUCCAGGGCUCAACCCUGGACCUGCAUUCGAUACGGGCAGACUAGAGUUCGGCAGGGGAGACUGGAAUUCCUGGUGUAGCGGUGAAAUGCGCAGAUAUCAGGAGGAACACCGGUGGCGAAGGCGGGUCUCUGGGCCGAUACUGACGCUGAGGAGCGAAAGCGUGGGGAGCAAAAGGG
rnacentral:rRNA from 1 species